rnacentral:lncRNA from 1 species
GUUACGGUUACUGACUCAGGAACCUUGUAUAUUAUAUACCUCGUUUACAGACGUUUAAUAAACUGGAUCCCUGUUGUGUUCACUUAUCGAUACACUACGAUGGAAUUACGGACCAGUUUAACAUAAACAUGGUAAAUAGAUAGACAGCUGAUAAUCAUAAUUGAUUAAGAAAUAACCUGGAAGAAGAAAUGAGUUAACUAUUGAUUAUAACAGAGACGAGAAUGCCAUCGUGUUUGUUCUGCUAAAAAAAGCAGGAACAUUGGAGUUUAUGGUUAGAUUUUAAAUAUUUCUUGUCUCCAAACUGGGUAAAUUUGAUAUAGUAACACCCCCCCCCUUUUUUUUUAAAUAACUCGAGAACCACACAUCGCGCUCGCUUAACAAAGUAACAAUAAGAAAUAAUUAUUGUUAGUUUCAAGAAUAAUUAAUCGUCAAAACUUAUCCCCUCCCCGACAUCAAAGGAAGUUAAAUGUAUUAUCCCAAAAUUAGACCAAAUUAUUAUGAUAUAAGGACGUCUUGACAGGCUAUUAUUUUAUUUUUGUUUUGUUGGUUUUUUUUUUUGCUUUGACGUCUUCCUCCUGUAUGAAAAAAACAUAAUAGACCCCCCCCCCUUUUUCCCCAUAAUAUAGUUUUUUAAGAAGUCAUAAUUAUUUGGACUACCCCUGAAUAUAUUUCAGACAGACUCUUCUCUAAAAAAAUGUAAACAUGAUUUGAGAGAAAUCUUUGGAAUAGUUUUUUAAAUGAUUUAAUUAUUAUGUCAUGUAUAUAAUUAACAUUAACAUAGUUAUAAACUGAGACUACUAGUAUAACACAUAGUGUUAUAGUAGUCUCAGCUAUAAACUUUCCAUUGUAUUGACCAAUAUGACUAACUCAUAUGCUCUUUCCCAUAAAUGUCACAAUAUCAAUAUAUUACAGUAAAACUGAUAGUUUGAUGACAUUGUUUAAGACUAUUGACCUCAGGUCAGCCUAAACUGAGUUUAAAACUGUAAUUUAUUCAUUAAAACAGUUCAAGACAUGUACCUUCUGAAAUGUGAUUGCAUCAAAAUUAAACCUAAGGCAUAACAUACUUAGUGUGCAGGAAGUGCCACCAAAUAAAUACUGAUUUGUAAAAUUAGAUGAUGAUAUUUGUGAAGUCAAAGAUAUUAUAGCUAGUUAUAACUGGUUUUAGAUAUAAAUCUGAGUAAAAGGUUGAUUUAUAUGUGCUCUUUCAUGUUUAGAUUAUAAUUUAAAUUUAAUCUUUUGAAGUUUUUUUUAUAAUAUUAAGACAUUAAAAUCACAAUUAUUUAUUUAUACACAAAAAAAUAAUUUUUGUCCUUUUUUAGUUGAAUGACUGUACACAAACAUUAUACACACAUAAUUUUGAUAAUUCUGUAAUGUUUUUUUUUCUAUAGCCCCAGAAUGUGACAAAAGACUUAUUAAUCCAGAUUUACAAAAAAUAGAAAUAGUUCAGCUACCAUAAGACUGCUAUGACAAAAAUUCUGCAGUUUCCAGAAUUUGAGGUAGAGUAUAGUUAGGAAUAGUUUGAUUAUGCAGAUGCUUAGUUUGCCAUAAACAAUUAUGCCCUUGAUACAAAAGCAGAGGAAACAAAAAAGUAUGAAAAUAGUUGAAAAAAGUAAUCAUUAUUACCUAGUCAUAUACUGUAAAUAGAAAAAGAGAAAAGCACUGGUUAUGAUUUGGUAUUUUUAAUAGCAUUAUCAUCAUUUGUCCAUAACUUGGAAUAUAUACUGGAUUGAGCUUGACAUUUAUUUAAUAUCAUUGACACAUGGUUGCAAGAAAUGAAAGAUGGUAAUUUAAACCUAGCAAUUUUAUUAAGAUUUAAAAAAAAGCUUUUGAUUUGGUAGAAUAUGACUUUCUUUGUUUAAAGCUCGACAUGUAUGGAUUUAGUGAGACUACUGUUAGUUUUUUUUUAAGUCGUACCUGAAUAACAAAAGGUAUACAUUUGUAAUGUUAACUCUGAACAACAACAUGUAAAAUUUGGUGUUCCCCAAUGUUCUAUACCUUGUCCUCUAUUGUUUGUGCUAUUUAUAAAUGACCUUCCCUUAUGCAUUAAAAAUUGUGAAACAGACCUAUAUCGUUGUAUAUGCUGAUGACACCACUAUUCAUAAAUCAGGGGGAAACAUCUAGAAAAUAUAAAUGAUGAUGUUCAAGAAGAUUUAUACAGGGUUGAAGAGUGGUGUAAAAUGAAUAACAUGUUCAUAGAUGCAAAUGAAACAAAAUGUUUGAUUACUGGAACAAAGCAGAAACUAUUCAGACUUUUCAACCAAACUUGAUAAUAAAUUAAAGUAUUACAAAAUUCUUCAUGUGAAAAAAUAUUAGUUUCAAAAUUGACAGCCCACUAAGUAACUGGAGAAAUCAAAUUGACCAAGGUUGUGCUAAUAUAUCAUCCAGAAUAUACCAUCUUUCUUAAAUACAUUUUUUUUUUUAUAUAACUGCAAGAAAACAUAAUACAAUGGGUGUUCUGCCCCUAAUUGACUACUGUUGUAUUAUUUGGGAUGAAUGUAAAAAUUGAGGGAUAACAAGAAUUUUAAAAAUCCAAAAAAAGGGCAGCAUGAUAAAUUCUAGAUGCAGAUCCGUUAUCCCUCUUGGUAUAUAGGAGCACUAUAUUCUAUGUUAACCUCCGACAGUAGGUAUAAACAAAUACUGUUGAUAGACGGUAUAUAGGAGCACUAUAUUCCAUGUUAACCACCGACGGUAGGUAUAGACAAAUACUGGUGAUAGACGUAUAUAGGAGCACUAUAUUCUAUGUUAACCACUGACGGUAGGUAUAGACCAAAUACUGUUGAUAGACGGUAUAUAGGAGCACUAUAUUUAUGUUAACCACCGACGGUAGGUAUAGACAAAUACUGGUUGAUAGACGGUAUAUAUAGGAGCACUAUAUUGUAUGUUAACCACCGACGGUAGGUAUAGACAAAUACUGUUGAUAGACGGUAUAUAGGAGCACUAUAUUGUAUGUUAACCACCGACGGUAGGUAUAGACAAAUACUGUUGAUAGACGGUAUAUAGGAGCACUAUAUUGUAUGUUAACUACCGACAGUAGGUAUAGACAAAUACUGUUGAUAGACGGUAUAUAGGAGCACUAUAUUGUAUGUUAACUACCGACAGUAGGUAUAGACAAAUACUGUUGAUAGACGGUAUAUAGGAGCACUAUAUUGUAUGUUAACCACCGACGGUAGGUAUAGACAAAUACUGUUGAUAGACGGUAUAAUAGGAGCAACUACCGACAGUAGGUAUAGACAAAUACUGUUGAUAGACGGUAUAUAGGAGCACUAUAUUGUAUGUUAACCACCGACGGUAGGUAUAGACAAAUACUGUUGAUAGACGGUAUAUAGGAGCACUAUAUUGUAUGUUAACUACCGACGGUAGGUAUAGACAAAUACUGUUGAUAGACGGUAUAUAGGAGCACUAUAUUGUAUGUUAACUACCGACAGUAGGUAUAGACAAAUACUGUUGUUGAUAGACGGUAUAUAGGAGCACUAUAUUGUAUGUUAACCACCGACGGUAGGUAUAGACAAAUACUGUUGAUAGACGGUAUAUAGGAGCACUAUAUUGUAUGUUAACUACCGACGGUAGGUAUAGACAAAUACUGUUGAUAGACGGUAUAUAGGAGCACUAUAUUGUAUGUUAACUACCGACGGUAGGUAUAGACAAAUACUGUUGAUAGACGGUAUAUAGGAGCACUAUAUUGUAUGUUAACUACCGACGGUAGGUAUAGACAAAUACUGUUGAUAGACGGUAUAUAGGAGCACUAUAUUGUAUGUUAACCACCGACGGUAGGUAUAGACAAAUACUGUUGAUAGACGGUAUAUAGGAGCACUAUAUUGUAUGUUAACUACCGACAGUAGGUAUAGACAAAUACUGUUGAUAGACGGUAUAUAGGAGCACUAUAUUGUAUGUUAACCACCGACGGUAGGUAUAGACAAAUACUGUUGAUAGACGGUAUAUAGGAGCACUAUAUUGUAUGUUAACUACCGACGGUAGGUAUAGACAAAUACUGUUGAUAGACGGUAUAUAGGAGCACUAUAUUGUAUGUUAACUACCGACAGUAGGUAUAGACAAAUACUGUUGAUAGACGGUAUAUAGGAGCACUAUAUUGUAUGUUAACUACCGACGGUAGGUAUAGACAAAUACUGUUGAUAGACGGUAUAUAGGAGCACUAUAUUGUAUGUUAACUACCGACAGUAGGUAUAGACAAAUACUGUUGAUAGACGGUAUAUAUGGGAGCACUAUAUUGUAUGUUAACCACCGACGGUAGGUAUAGACAAAUACUGUUGAUAGACGGUAUAUAGGAGCACUAUAUUGUAUGUUAACUACCGACGGUAGGUAUAGACAAAUACUGUUGAUAGACGGUAUAUAGGAGCACUAUAUUGUAUGUUAACUACCGACGGUAGGUAUAGACAAAUACUGUUGAUAGACGGUAUAUAGGAGCACUAUAUUGUAUGUUAACUACCGACAGUAGGUAUAGACAAAUACUGUUGAUAGACGGUAUAUAGGAGCACUAUAUUGUAUGUUAACUACCGACGGUAGGUAUAGACAAAUACUGUUGAUAGACGGUAUAUAGGAGCACUAUAUUGUAUGUUAACUACCGACGGUAGGUAUAGACAAAUACUGUUGAUAGACGGUAUAUAGGAGCACUAUAUUGUAUGUUAACUACCGACGGUAGGUAUAGACAAAUACUGUUGAUAGACGGUAUAUAGGGAGCACUAUAUUGUAUGUUAACCACCGACGGUAGGUAUAGACAUAAUACUGUUGAUAGAUGGUAUAUAGGAGCACUAUAUUGUAUGUUAACUACCGACAGUAGGUAUAGACAAAUACUGUUGAUAGACGGUAUAUAGGAGCACUAUAUUGUAUGUUAACCACCGACGGUAGGUAUAGACAAAUACUGUUGAUAGACGGUAUAUAGGAGCACUAUAUUGCAUGUUAACCACCGACGGUAGGUAUAGACAAAUACUGUUGAUGGACGGUUACUAUAUCGUAUGUUAACCACCGACGGUAGGUAUAGACAAAUACUGUUGAUAGACGGUAUAUAGGAGGACUGUAUUGUAUGUUAACCACCGACGGUAGGUAUAGACAAAUACUGUUGAUAUACGGUAUAUAGGAGUAUUGUAUUUUAUGUCAAACAUCGACGAUAGGUAUGGACAAAAUCCGACAAAUACUGUAUACAGACAGUGUAUAGAAGUACUGUAUUGUAUGGUAAACACUGACGGUUGGUAUGGACAAUUUCUGUAUCAUGCAUCAAUUGUAAAUAAAAGUAUCAUGUGAGUGACACAGGCUCAUUGAAGCCUCUAGUUUUGAUUUAUUACUGGUCUAUUUUCAUUUUCUAUUACAUGCAUGAUAACUGCAACAAUUGAAUUGAAAUAAAAGUGAUAAUAUUUCUGUUGUAGGUUAUCAAGAUUUAGUGUUUCCAUACAAGUGACAAAGAUUGAACAACAAAAACAUCUCAAACUUUACAGGACAGAGUAGACUUUUUUCACUGUGCUUAGUUUUGUCUUUAUGUCUAAAUUAUGAUACCUUUAAAAAAAACC